rnacentral:rRNA from 1 species
ACGAACGCUGGCGGCGUGCUUAACACAUGCAAGUCGAACGGAAAGGCCCAGCUUUUGUGGGGUGCUCGAGUGGCGAACGGGUGAGUAACACGUGAGUAACCUGCCCUUGACUUUGGGAUAACUUCAGGAAACUGGGGCUAAUACCGGAUAGGAGCUCCUGCUGCAUGGUGGGGGUUGGAAAGUUUCGGCGGUUGGGGAUGGACUCGCGGCUUAUCAGCUUGUUGGUGGGGUAGUGGCUUACCAAGGCUUUGACGGGUAGCCGGCCUGAGAGGGUGACCGGCCACAUUGGGACUGAGAUACGGCCCAGACUCCUACGGGAGGCAGCAGUGGGGAAUAUUGCACAAUGGGCGGAAGCCUGUUGCAGCAACGCCGCGUGCGGGAUGACGGCCUUCGGGUUGUAAACCGCUUUCGCCUGUGACGAAGCGUGAGUGACGGUAAUGGGUAAAGAAGCACCGGCUAACUACGUG